AUCACCACACUCUUCAUCUUCCUCACUCCAUUCAUCAUAACCUCACCCGUUAAAAGACUCCUCCCUGGCUACAGCGUCGUAUGUUUAAGCAUCAUAAAGACCAAUUAUUCAGAGAAGCAAAUUAUGGCUAUGAAACUUUUUGGAUUUCCACAUCAUUUCAUCUUAUAUAAAACUUCGUUUACAUUCCGCUUAUACACAUAAUUCACCAUUUUUAACAAAAAAAAAAAGCUUAGAUACCGUGAAAUCUUCUGGCAAAGCUCCACCAGUCAGUUCUCCAGUGACCUCACUCCGGGAUGAAGAGAUCGCGGACGGCGACGGCGAGGAUAUUGGAGCAAGAGACGGUGUUGGGACAGGCGAGCUCGAGAGCGGUUUUGGGCGGAUCACAACGUCGAAUCUGUCUCUGGGAAGGAGAGGUUGAUGGGGUCAUCGCGUUCGGCGGCGUUGAAAGCAGUGGAGGAGACGAGGACGGAGGCGUCGCAGCCGUUGGGGAGUUUCGUUUCUUCCUCUCCUGCAAUCUCAAUUCUUCCGUACCGAGAAGCUCGAUGGAAUCCUCCCUGUCGAUAAAUCUACUGAGUCGGAGGACAAAAGACCAGAGCUUUACGUUGAGUGUGCAUUGUAUAUAGAUGGAGUUCCUUUUGGUCUUCCCAUGAGAACAAGAUUGAACACUACAGGGCCACCAUACUGCUGGAACAAACUCAUCACUGUCUGGGAUACAGAACUUGGAAAGUUUAAUCCUUCAGAGCACAAACAACUAAAGCUUGCAAAGAGCUUGGAUCGUGGCAUUAUUGACAGGGAUCUCAAACCGAGUAAUAACGAGCGGAAAUCAAUACAAAGAGUUCUAAAAUAUCCGCCAACGAGGACUUUGAGUGGAGAUGAAAGACAAAGUUUCUUCGCUGUGUGGAGUGGAGUGAUGUUCAGGAAGCAAAGCAUCACAUCCCUUCAGCGCAUUGUAAGUUUUUCUGUAGAAUGUAUAUGCCAAAUUUGUGGAUGAAAGGUAUGUGUAGCUUCGUUUACUCUUGAACGUCUUCUUCUUGGUUUACUCUUAUAGGAUGUUUCAAACAAUGUUGGCUUACUUUCUGAUGAUGGCAAGAGAUUUUACAAACCAAAGUGUUUCUUAAUUUUUUUUGAUUUUUUUAAUAUGUUUUAUAUAAUAAAUAAAUUUUAUCUUAAAUAAAACAAUGUUUAAUUUUUUUUAAGAACUCCUAAAUAAGAUACUUGCAUUGGAGGACAAAAUUUAGAGGUUGCUUAAAAAAGUGCUUAACACCCAUUUAUUACUAAAAAAAUGAUUAAGAGCUCCAUUAGGGAUGCUAGGGUUAAUGGUGCUCUUAGAGCGUGUGACUAAAAAUCUUUCUAUAAGGCAAGAAGAGCAAGCAAAAAAAAUUGGCGCAAAAUCAAGGUACACAAACAAAACACCUGAAUAUCCUUUAAAAUGAUCUUCCAAGUAAUUUUUUAACUCAAGAUUGUUUGGUUUGGUGCUUCACUCGAAAGCCAUUUCUUGGUCUCCUUAUGUUAACGAUCUUGCUUCUGGUGAUUGGACUCCUGAUUGAUGCAUACAGUUUUUCGAAUAGGAAGACAACUUACGUAGAUACUCAUCACGUACGAUGCUCCCACAACCAAAUCAUAUACUGUAAAUACUUCACCAUCUCCAAAAUUGCAACUCUAACAUGUCACACAUACAGAGUUAUGUACGUUGCGGUCUCACCUGACGGACAAACGAUUGUAACCGGAGCAGGAGAUGAAACCGUAAGGUUCUGGAAUGUCUUCCCAUCCAUGAAAACUCAGUUACUAUACGCAGAACGAGGCAUUGCGGUCGGGUGAGAAUAGCAUGCCUCACUGAUUGUGAGAUAUAUAUCGGUCUGAUUAAUGUGAUUUAAAACAACACGAGGUAGAUCAGCGCAGCGGAUUCGGCAGGACAGCAUCAGCGUUCUCAUCGGCCCCACUAGACGCUCCCACUGCCGAUCACCAGGUUCGCCUCUAUUCCUUAAAAAUAACUCGAAUAAGCAGUCAAUUGAAACUCCUUCAGAAGCUUUUGUGUCUCCCUCUCUAUAUGAACUUGAAGAGGAGAGAGCUAGUGUAGCUGUUACGAGUCGUCUUUUUGAGGCCAUGCACACAUGUAAAUGUUAAGAUGGUUAACCUUUAGAGUCCUUAAUCCAAUCUAUGUUUCUGACAUGUUGAACUUGGUGAGGAGGCAUUGUUUCCCCGUGUACUGGAAUGGAGAUAAUUGGUGUGUGUCUAGAGGCCAGAAACAUUAAACAGUUGGAGAUUGCAUAUCGUAACAAGGUCUGGUGCAGAAGGAGGUUUUAACCCUCUAGGCUUUUUGCAGGUUCCAGGAUUUGAUGUGGAUCUCUCUUAGAUUGGCUUAAUGUGGAUCUCUCUUAGCUCCCACUUCUACGACUUUUUAAUUUUUGAUUAUUUACAUACGCAAAAAAUUUAGUCGUACACAUAUAUUGUUAAUCCUUAUGUUAAAAUAAUAAAAUCAACAUUUAUAUGAUUAUUGAACGCAAGCUAACAGUUCUUUUUGUCAAAAGAAUAAUAGUUCUUCUU